rnacentral:tRNA from 1 species
UCCCUGGUGGUCCAGCGACUAGGACUCUACGCUCUCAAAGCAGGAGGCCCAGGUUCGAUCCCUAGUCGGGGAA